GAAAAAACCAAAAAAAAAAAAAAAAAAAACGGCAGCCCUGCUUCAGAAAAGUCAAAAUUACGAGAAACACUCAAAAAUCUGAGAAUGCGUAUUGCACAACAUAUUUGACGCGCAAAAUAUCUCGUAGCGAAAACUACAGUAUCCCCCCUUUAAAUUACUACUGUAGCGCCGCUGGUGUCGAUUUACGGGCUUAAUUUUGAUAUCCGAUCAAAAAUCGGGCUCGUAAAUCGACACAAGCGCUACAGUAGUCAUUAACAGGAUUACUGUAGUUUUCGGUACGACGAGAUAUUUUGCGCGCGUCAAAUAUGUUGUGCAGUACGCAUUCUCAAAAUUUUAUGUUACCGUAAUAAACAUUCUAGAACCGUUUUAAAAUUUUCGCGUUGUAAAAAUCUGGAAAUUCUUCUUUUUCCAGAAAUUCUCGCCCUCCAACACCACCGUCCUGCCGCCGAUACGGAAUGGAACUCCGACGCUCCGAUCGUCAUCGAGACCUCUCGUGGCUUCAACGUGACGGUUCAACUGCGGAAUUUGUGCAGCUCAAACUACCACGGAAAACGCUGCAAUCGAUAUUGUAUCGCGAAUGCGAAGCUUCACUGGGAGUGCUCAACACACGGAGUCCGCCGAUGCUCCGCCGGAUGGUCUGGUGAAGAUUGUUCAAAUCCGAUCUGCGCCGGCGGUUGCAGCAAUCGUGGCAGAUGUGUGGCACCGAACCAAUGCUCGUGCGCCGACGGAUUCAACGGAACUCGCUGUGAGCAGUGCCUACCACGCGCGGGAUGUGUCAACGGAGACUGUGUUAACGAGACGCCGAACACGUGCAAGUGUAGAGACGGUUUUAUUGGUGAUCGGUGUGAUAUUGACAUCAAAAUCUGCUCUCUCGAAAAACCGUGUGCAAACGGUGGAAUCUGUUCAAUUGACUCGUCAUCGUCGACCGGCUACAAAUGUCAUUGCCCAUUCGAAUUCGUCGGCUCUCAAUGCAAAACACCGCUGAGCAAAGUUCGGUGCUCCGCGGAGCACGUUUGUAAGAAUGGAGGCGCUUGCAUCUCAAUGGACGACACAAAUAUUCAGUGCAAGUGCCGUCGCGGAUUUUCGGGAAAAUUCUGUGAAAUUGGAAAUCACGGGGAUUGCUCGGCGAUGCGGUGCUCCGCCGGAGAGACGUGCCAAAUUAGUGGAGAUUUUGCGAUUUGUGUGGAAAAUGAUGAGCUACUACUGACAACUAAUAAGCCUGCUGAAACGACGAAAAGCGUUGAAAAAUGGAGAGAACCCCGAAAAACGGCGAACGACGAGCAAGCCUCGGAUGAGCUUCAACUUCGGCUGAUCGCCGCAAUUUGUGUGCUCUUUUCAGUUUGUGUGAUCGGUCUCGCCUUGGUCAGCUUUUUCUUCUACAUGCACUCAUUCUCCAAGUGGAAACAUCCAUCGUCACAGCAGGCAGGAGGAAGCACAAUUCUUCCAACAACAACAUCAAUUCCAAUGUCUACAACGUCUUCGGGAACUGGAUCUCCUGUUUAUAAAGUGUGCAUAAUCGAUUCGGAGCACCGCGGAAACGCGCCAGGAAGCUCAUCAGAUUCCGAACCCGAUCACCACUGUCCGCCGCCGCACCGACAUUCUCCACCGCCUGCCUACUCGAGUCUCGUCCUGUACAAAAAAGUUCCGAUGGCAGCAGAUGACGAGUCGUCGUUUCGAGUCUAA
rnacentral:misc_RNA from 1 species